UAGACAUGCUUAAAAACAUAGAAUUCCCUCCAAAAAUUUGACACCCAUCUACUAGAUCUCAGUUUAGCUCCCUCUCCAUGCAGUCCCACAAGGAUGCAGAGGGAACCCUUAAAAUAAAACCAGAAAAGGAAAACAUCAAAGUAGCCACCUGCUUUGAGAAACUGUUACCAUGUGUCAGGCAUUCACUUGCCAAGGGAGUGGCAAUAUUUAUCAGCUUUGCUGCACUGGCUAGUCCUGAUACCACAAUCAAGGCUCAAGAGUUAAUCAUUUCCCCCUGUGAAAACUUCAGAGAGCCAAGCUGCAGGGCUGGGCUCUGUCCUUGAUCAACACUUGCAACCUGUUCUUCAUCCAGCCCUACAAUAUGAAGUACAGAACCCCUCUGGUGAAUCCUGGAGCACAAGCUUUUUGCCUGAUGUAUGUUCCCAUGUGCUGUCAAACACCUGUUGUUCAGCAGAAACAAGAUGUAAUUCCAAGAUAAAGAUGACUUCAACUACCUAUGAUAGCUAUCAUCUGGGGAUCUUAUUUCACUUUUUAAACUUUAAAUACAAUACAGUUUAAUUCAGAAGGACA